rnacentral:rRNA from 1 species
AGGCCGCGGGAAUUCGAUUGGCCUUACACAUGUAAGUCGAGCGGGAACUUCGGUUCUAGAGGAGGACGGGUGAGUAAUGUGUAGGGAGCUACCCGAUAGAGGGGGAUGCCAGUUGGAAGGGACUGUUAAUGCCGCAUAAUGUGUACGGGCCAAAGUGUGGGACCUUUGGGCCACAUGUUAUCGGAUGCGCCUACGUGGUAUUAGCUAGGUGGUGAGGUAAUGGCUCACCAAGGGGACGAUCCCUAGCUGGUUUGAGAGGAUGAUCAGCCACGCUGGUAGUGAGAGUCGGUCCAGACUCCUUCGGGAGGCAGCAGUGGGGAAUAUUGGACAAUGGGCUCAAGCGUGAUCCACUCAGGGCGCGUGUGUGAAGAAGGCCUUCGGGUUGUAAUUCAAAAGGGCGAGGAGGAAGGGGUUGUAGUUAAUAGCUGCAACCUUUGACGUACUCGCAGAAGA